CGGUAACAGCUUCUAGAGUGGGUGAUAUACAGAAUCAAAUAAAAAUCGAAGGGGACAUCCGCUCCAUUGACCCCUUCGCCGGAUCGCUCUUUCGUCACUUGGGCUUCAUCAAAUAUGGACUCUGUGAACAUGGGUGAUCCUAAAAAUUCCAUAACACCAGGCGGGGAGGAGUCAGUGUCUUGAGAAGUCUCGGCCAUCACCCAUGCGCCACCCUCAAGCACUUGAGGGAGACUAGUAUCUAUCGUUUCCCCGUCGGCUUCCACCUGCCCCUCCGAACAAACGACUCGCG
rnacentral:lncRNA from 1 species